rnacentral:rRNA from 1 species
GACAGAGGGUGCAAACGUUGUUCGGAUUUACUGGGCGUAAAGCGCGUGUAGGCGGCUUUGCAAGUCGGAUGUGAAAGCCCCGGGCUCAACCCGGGAAGUGCAUUCGAAACUGCGAGGCUAGAGUAUCGGAGAGGUUGGUGGAAUUCUCGGUGUAGAGGUGAAAUUCGUAGAUAUUCGGAAGAACACCAGUGGCGAAGGCGGCUCACUGGACCGGCAUUGACGCUGAGGUGCGAAAGCGUGGGGAGCAAACAGG